rnacentral:lncRNA from 1 species
GUCCUGGGAGUACUUGUACCCAAAACAUUAUUUAUGUUCUUAGAGCCAUGUCAUGUUUCCACGAUACUCUCAGUUAAGCUAUGAUUCCUUAGACUUCAGACAAUCUUGUGACUCAGGAAAUCUCCAUAAUCUCAUGAACUCAGUCAGUUGUCAGAUAUCAGUAAGAUUCCGUCAGUCAAUGGAAUUCAGUAACUCAGUCCUUGUUCACUUUAGU